AUACGGAGGGUGCAAGCGUUACUCGGAAUCACUGGGCGUAAAGCGCGCGCAGGCGGUCUUUUAAGUUGGAUGUGAAAGCCUACGGCUCAACCGUAGAACUGCAUCCAAAACUAUUAGACUAGAGUGUGAGAGAGGAAGGUGGAAUUAGUUGUGUAGGGGUAAAAUCCGUAGAGAUAACUAGGAAUACCAAAAGCGAAGGCAAUCUUCUGGAACACUACUGACGCUGAGGCGCGAAAGCGUGGGGAGCAAAAAGAAUUAGAUACCCUAGUAGUCC
rnacentral:rRNA from 1 species